UGGACAUUCACUACAUUAUAUUAAGCCUUAUCUAUUGUAGAACUGUCUUCAAUUCCCCCCCGCAACUCAGGGGGUGGUACGUCCAAAUCCUCGAGAGGACGGAAAAAGGCCUUCUUCUCCAACACUGAAUCACCAUUAGCACUUAGAGGUUCCCCACCCAUAGCUGAUUUAUCAUUAUCAGUUGCAGGGCCGAACACCCCGGUCUCAGGGUGAGGUUCCCAGUAUUCGUCAGAUAGAGGAGAGAUUACAUCAUCCGGGACUGCAGCUGCUUGGGCAUUCUCCUCAACUACAUUCUCCUCAACAUUCUUGCUGUACACAGAAACAUGCACACCCCUGCAAAUCGGGAUAAAUUUUUACAUCACAAAUCUGAUAUCAAGGCAACAUGCAAAU
rnacentral:lncRNA from 1 species